CGAGCCGGCCGGGUGACCGCGGCCCGUACGGGUCGAGGAAAGUCCGGACUCCGCAGAGCAGGGUGGUGGGUAACACCCACCCGGGGCGACCCGCGGGACAGUGCCACAGAGAACAGACCGCCCGCCUCUCGGGGCGGGUAAGGGUGAAACGGUGGUGCAAGAGACCACCAGCACCCCAGGUGACUGGGGUGGCUCGGUAAACCCCACCCGGAGCAAGACCACAAGGGCCUUCGGGCCUGCGACAGCGUUGGAGGGCUGCUCGCCCGAGCUGUCGGGUAGGUCGCACGCGCGGCUGCGCGAAGGCCGCUGGCAACAGCGGUCGCAGAUGGAUGGUCACCGGCCCCUCGGGGCCACAGAAUCCGGCUUACAGGCCGGCUCGUCCC
rnacentral:RNase_P_RNA from 1 species